rnacentral:misc_RNA from 1 species
GCAGGUGACGCCGGAGGGCGACCGCUUCAUGCCGAUCGUCCCGUUCGUCUACUUCACGGGCCGCGGCGAUCGCCAGCGCGUCAUCGAGGCAGUCACGCCGUUCCUCGACGCCGACCUUGGCGAGCACCACCUUACGC